GACGAACGCUGGCGGCGUGCUUAACACAUGCAAGUCGAACGGAAAGGCCCUGCUUGCAGGGUACUCGAGUGGCGAACGGGUGAGUAACACGUGGGUGAUCUGCCCUGCACUUCGGGAUAAGCCUGGGAAACUGGGUCUAAUACCGGAUAGGAGCCAUUUUUAGUGUGAUGGUUGGAAAGUUUUUUCGGUGUAGGAUGAGCUCGCGGCCUAUCAGCUUGUUGGUGGGGUAAUGGCCUACCAAGGCGGCGACGGGUAGCCGGCCUGAGAGGGUGGACGGCCACAUUGGGACUGAGAUACGGCGCAGACUCCUACGGGAGGCAGCAGUGGGGAAUAUUGCACAAUGGGCGCAAGCCUGAUGCAGCGACGCCGCGUGGGGGAUGACGGCCUUCGGGUUGUAAACUCCUUUAGCUAGGGACGAAGCUUUUGUGACGGUACCUAGAUAAGAAGCACCGGCUAACUACGUG
rnacentral:rRNA from 1 species